GUGGCAGCAGGGUGACAAUUGGGAACUGUGGGGUGGCAUGGGGUAAGGUGACACCAGGGUGACACCAGGGUGACAGCGGGUGACAACAAGACAGGAUAAGUUGACACUGGGGUGACAGUGGGAUGGGGCAGGGUGACACAGGGUGACAGUGGGGUGACAAGAAGGGAUGGGGUGGCGGCAGGGUGACAAUUGGGAACUGUGGGGUGACACGGGGUAAGGUGACACCAGGGUGACACUGGGUGACAGCAAGACAGGACAGGGUGACACCGGGGUGACAGUGGGAUGGGGCAGGGUGACACUGGGGUGACAGCAGGGUGACAAGAAGGGAUGGGGUGACGGCAGGGUGACAAUUGGGAACCGUGGGGUGACACUGGGUGAUAGCGGACGGGACAGGGUGACACCGGGGUGACAUCAGGGUGACGCCGGGGUGACAGCGAGGGUGGGACGGGGUUGUCCCUGGGCCAGGACGGGGUGACACCGGGACGGGACCGGGUGGGGGAGGGGACGGGGACGCGGUGUCACCCUGAUCCCGGUGACCCCCAGGAGCGGGCGGUUCCUGGUGAGCGGGGACAGCGGUGGCUUUGUCACCGUUUGGGACACGCUGCGGCCACCGGAGCCCGGGGACCCCCCCCUGCUGCCCCACACCCUGCGCUUCCACGCCCUGAGGGACUGCGUCAACGGCACCAGGUGCGGCUGUCACCUCUGUGUCACUGUCACCCCUGUGUCACUGUCACCCGCGUCAUGUCACCCAUGUCAUGUCACCUGCAUCACUGUCACCUCUGUGUCACUGUCACCUGCAUCAUGUCACCUCUGUGUCACUGUCACCUCUGUGUCACUGUCACCUCUGCGUCACUGUCACCUCUGCGUCACUGUCACCUGCAUCAUGUCACCUCUGUGUCGCUGUCACCUCUGUGUCACUGUCACCUCUGUGUCACUGUCACCUCUGUGUCACUGUCACCUGCGUCACUGUCACCUCUGUGUCACUGUCACCUCUGUGUCACUGUCACCCGCGUCACUGUCACCCGCGUCACUGUCACCCGCGUCACUGUCACCUCUGUGUCACUGUCACCUCUGUGUCACUGUCACCUCUGUGUCACUGUCACCUGCAUCAUGUCACCUCUGUGUCACUGUCAUUCACGUCAUGUCACCUCUGUGUCACUGUCACCCGCAUCAUGUCACCUGCAUCAUGACACCUCUGUGUCACUGUCACCCGCGUCACUGUCACCUCUGUGUCACUGUCACCUCUGUGUCGCUGUCACCCGUGUAUGUCCCCUCUGUGUCACUGUCAUCUGCAUCAUGUCACCUCUGCAUCACUGUCACCUGCAUCAUGUCACCUCUGCGUCACUGUCACCUCUGCGUCACUGUCACCUCUGUGUCGCUGUCACCUGUGUCACUGUCACCUCUGUGUCACUGUCACCCAUAUCAUGUCAUCUGCAUCGUGACACUUCUGUGUCACUGUCACCUCUGUGUCACUGUCACCCACGUCAUGUCCCCUCUGUGUCACUGUCAUCUGCAUCGUGACACCUCUGUGUCACUGUCACCCAUGUCAUGUCCCCUGUGUCACUGUCCCCUCUGUGUCACUGUUCCCUCUGUGUCACUGUCACCCAUGUCAUGUCCCCUCUGUGUCAAUGUCACCUGUGUGUCACUGUCACCCGUAUCAUGUCACCGGCAUCAUGACACCUCUGUGUCACUGUCACCUCUGUCACUGUCACCAUGUCAUGUCACCCGCAUCAUGUCCCCUCUGUGUCACUGUCCCCUCUGUGUCACAGUCACCUGCGUCAUGUCACCUGCAUCAUGUCCCCUCUGUGUCACUGUCACCUGUGUCACUGUCACCUGCGUCAUGUCACCCAUGUCAUGUCACCCGCAUCGUGUCGCCUCUGUGUCACUGUCAUUCGCGUCAUGUCACUGUCACCCACAUCACGUCACCCGCAUCAUGACACCUCUGUGUCACUGUCACCCGCAUCAUAUCACCUCUGUGUCACUGUCACCUCUGUCACUGACACCCGUGUCAUGUCACCCGCAUCAUGUCACUCUGUGUCACUGUCACCUCUGUGUCACUGUCACCUCUGUGUCACUGUCACCUGCAUCACGUCACCUCUGUGUCACUGUCACCUCUGUCACUGUCACCCGUGUCGUGUCACCUGCGUUGUGUCACCUCUGUGUCACUGUCAUUCACAUUAUGUCACCUCUGUGUCGCUGUCAUCUCUGUGUCACUGUCACCC
rnacentral:lncRNA from 1 species